UGGGGAAUAUUGGGCAAUGGGCGAAAGCCUGACCCAGCAACGCCGCGUGAAGGAAGAAGGUCUUCGGAUUGUAAACUUCUUUUAUGAGGGACGAAGGAAGUGACGGUACCUCAUGAAUAAGCCACGGCUAACUACGUGCCAGCAGCCGCGGUAAUACGUAGGUGGCAAGCGUUGUCCGGAUUUACUGGGUGUAAAGGGCGCGUAGGCGGGAUGGCAAGUCAGAUGUGAAAUCCAUGGGCUCAACCCAUGAACUGCAUUUGAAACUGUCGUUCUUGAGUAUCGGAGAGGCAAGCGGAAUUCCUAGUGUAGCGGUGAAAUGCGUAGAUAUUAGGAGGAACACCAGUGGCGAAGGCGGCUUGCUGGACGACAACUGACGCUGAGGCGCGAAAGCGUGGGGAGCAAACA
rnacentral:rRNA from 1 species